rnacentral:lncRNA from 1 species
CCGACGGCGGCGACGCAAGAAACGAUUGUUCCCAAAGCACGGCUCGGGUUCGGGGCCGGGAAACGGCCCAAAAGCGGGCCCGAAGGUGCUGGAAACCCACUUCGUGGGUCUGCUGGACGGGGCCGAUCGGGGCUGCUCUGGCGGCUAGGGCGGCGAGGGGAAGCCGGCGGAGGGCGAGGGGAACGCAGGGGAGGUCCGGCGGGGUUGGGCGGUGGCCGGAGGUGGCCGGACGGUGGCUGGUCGGUGCGGAACAGAGGCGAAACAGGGCUGGGUCGCGGUUGGAUCGCGCGGAGGGAGGAGCGGCAGCGGCGAC